rnacentral:misc_RNA from 1 species
ACAUCCAGGUGGAGCCACGCAUCCCGAUCCCAACACCCCGCCGCACAGGGCUAGUGCGUCGGGGCGAAAAGGGAACGGGGUAACGGUGCGUGGCAGACGAGGGGCGCUCGAGGAGGUUUCGGGGCUUCGGCCUCUUUUCCCCUCUCGAGACAAUCGCCCGCACCUGGGAGAAUCGAGAUGGCCGUCGCAACCCAAGGGCCCCGCGAGGGGCACGACGGGAGGCAGUCGGCUGAAAUCGCAGGGAAGCACCGAAUCCGUCUCCGCUCCUCUCGUCCCCAGUGCAGAACCCCGGAUGCCAAACGGGGGGACGCGAGUGGGACGAGCGAGAUGAGGCGGGUGGCGACCCAGCUGAGCUCGGCGAACCCAGCCGGCCAACGGACCCCGUCCGGACCUCCCAGCAGGUGGGGAGGCCGAUCGCGCAUCGGUCUCGCUCUCUCUCCCGAGACGGGCGGCUCACACAAAGGGAGCCGGGGGUGUGGCAACCCCCGCGUCUCCCGGCGUUGCCGUUUCCAGAACGGGCGAGAGGCGGGCGGGGCUCGUACUCAAAAUGGUCGG